AAACUAUUGAAAAGCUGAAAGGCCGCUUCUGGCAUUCUCUCUGAGAAGGAAAUCUGCACAUUGUCUCUGGGAAACUGACUAGUAAAGGAUUGCUUGAAAAAAUUAUAUCAUACCUCAAGUCCCUGUCAAAGGGAUAAUGCCAGAAGGAAAAUGAAGUCCAUCAUAAAUAUUACUUGGUUUGGAUGAUACUCAGAACAAUAUCAGCCCCAGCAUUCUCUGAAGGUCUUCAGCACAGAAGACUCUGGACAUCAUCCAGCUCUGUGGUAACUCAUCUUGCCAACAUUCUCCUCUUCUCAGAUACCCCACAGCAACUGAGAACAGACAGUGGAGAGAUAUUUCAUCAGAACAGAUUGAGAAAGUUAACUUUUCCAAACUUCAGAUCUUCUAGAAAGCACAUAAAAUUGACGUUAUUUGACUGUCUCUUCCAAUUGUCAGAGAGAUUCCAUAGAUCCAGUGAUGGACGGGGAGAGCAGUGGUAGCCAACAUAAAGAAACUUUCUCCAUCUUUCUCGCUAACCUGGGACCUGUAAAUUACAUGGAAUAGUGAAAAGUAAAAACACGUACAACCAAAAUGUCGUAUUUCUUAUUUAGCAUGAUUACAAUACAAAAAAACAGCUGUGAUCAUUGCAUGCUCAAAUGCUUGUCUAUCUUUAUUCCUUUAUGAUGUUGCAAUUAAACUGUAGAUUGCUAUUAAAUUUUCUUAAGUGGGACAGUAUUUCAUAGAAAAUGCACAUUUUUCUAAUUCCCUGAACUCCUCCUUGAAACAUCGGUGUUAAUAAAACAGUAUUAAAUUAAUCCUGCUGUAGUAAU
rnacentral:lncRNA from 1 species